CCCUUUCCUUUUUCUGUUAUUUGGCUGUGAUAGGAAAAGUAUUGAAAAAUAGAAAGUGCCCUAGACAGGAAAACACUCUGAGCACUGAAACCUGAAACCCAGUGGCCUGCGCCAACACCCCUGUUGGAGGUGGAUGGCUAGCCAGGAUUCAUUCUGGGCCCCAGUCCCAGGCUCUGCUUAGGGUGGGGCCUGAAGCCCCUUUAGUGGAGAUGAGGACUUGAGGAGGGCAGCGGGUGACUACUGGAGAUCACAUGGAUGAGGGAAGACACAUCACGGGAGGUCAGGUCUGCUCACUACCACAGGCUGACCUGCCGCCUCAGCCCCGGUGAAGUUCCAACACAGACCAGAGAAGUUGCUGUCCAUAGCUGGGGCUUCCAGAAGUGGCCCUGCCUUUGCCUGACAGCUGUGGCCUCUGUCCUCUAUGGCUUUCCUUAGAUGGAGCCUCUGUCAGAGCCAAGAUGGUGCCGGUUUCCUCCGACUGUGACUAGAAGAUGGUGAGACAGAAGGCAACUUUAGAAGGCAACAAACCUUCAUACUGUCUUUUCCCAGGGAGGAGCCAUGAACUUUUGGUGGCCCUUCUCCUCAAGCUGGAAGAACAUUCGGGCUGGUGAACAUUAACCCUUCUGCAGCCAUGCCACGGUGAAACAGACACAAAACAACGUGGAUGAACCUUAGCCCCUUCCAUGGUUUAAAUGAGAGCAGCUCAUCUAGGCACGUAUGUUUGAAUAUUUGGCCUCCAGUUGGAAGAACCAGAUGGGAAAGGUGCAUACUAUGUCAUUAAAGGCAACUAAGUAAAGGCAAACCAUGCACAGACUGAGGAGUGUGUCUGGGAGCUGAUGCUGAGUUGAAGGUAUACAUGGGUUGUCAUUACACUGUCUUUUAUAGAUAUGCCAUGCAUCCCUUAUCAACCUACCAAGGAACCCGAAAUCUCCCAGGAUCCUUGCUGAUAAAGCAUCCCAGUUUCUUCAGGCAAAGAAAAAUUCUAUUCACUGUUCUCUGGGUCCCAUCCCUUCUCAUGAUCUCAGGGGCUCUGUUUAUUUCCUGGUUCCGGUGUUCUUAUUCUCCAUCAGGCUCUCCUUCCCUCCUGGGCCAUUUUCACCAGAUAUGAACAGUCUAUUCCCUAUCAUCUUAAAGACAAAGUCUUAUUAGGGAGGAUCGAAACUAGCCUGACACAACAUAUGGACCCAUAAGUCAGUGUACCAGACAAGGAGAUAGACUCUGGCAAGCAAGGUAUAGGCAGGCAGCACAAGGUUCCACAUGGCUGCUCCUUCUUCAGUGUUGCUCUACCAUCCUUAACGCCCAGUUUGUUCCAAAAGGAUACUCCAGCCACUGCCAUCACUUCAGUCAUUGGCCAGAUGAAGAUGGAAAUGGAGAAAGAAGAAACGUCAAUUUCUCUAGACACUGCCUGAAGUUGUGUAUCCACCAUGUUCACUCACAGACUUGGUCUUAAGGCAUCUCUAGUGAAGGAAGUUGAGACAUACCACACAAUUAUCAAUAGGUCAAGUUAAAUAUGCCAUUGCUAACAAGGAAGAAGAGAAUGAAUAGCAAAGCUGGUGUGAUCUCUGCCUAAAUGAACGCACAUUCCCUUCCCUUACACAAAAUGUGCUAAUCCUUUCCUAAGUUCAAAACCCACAGGGUUUACCCAGUAAUUACUGCAACCAGCUCAAAGCUAGACCCUCCUGGUGAUUGUACGAUGUUUACAGAACCUCAGCUAUUGGUCCAGUGGCAUAUAAUCAAAAGGCAGGUUGUCUACGUGCCUGCCUCCUCCAGCCAACCACCCAUGUGCAAUAUACAAUGGAGUAUGAAACAGGAUAACCACAAUUAAAGGUUCUACUUGGAAAAGAAGAAUGGGAAAUACAUAACAAUUAGCGGAUCCCACUGGGCAAGAAUUGCGAGGGUUCCCGCCUCCUGCGGGGCUAAGUGCCUUAGGCCAGGCUACUGGGAAAUAUUCCUUUAUCCAUUCUUCUCUGUGGACCCUGCAUCUGCCUUCUGGGAGGUCUUUAUUAGUCUACUGUUCUCCAGGGCCACAUGGGAAGAAGCCACUGGAGAGGAUGUCGUCUACAGUGGUGAGAGUUCAGAUGUCACAGCCUUCUUCCUUCUAGUGCAGGUUAGCCAGCUCAAGGCUCGCCUCGGGAAUUGAGCAAUCAGAGAGUUGUGUAGUUCAGGCUUGCAGACUUUUUGUCAACUAAUUUCCCUCAAAAAAAAAAAAAAAAAACUUAGUUAUAACAAUACAAAAAUUAAAUUUAAAAAACAAAUUCCACUUAGAACCGUAUUGAAAAUAACAAAAUUGAAAUAAAUUUAACAAAAGAACUUGAAGAUUUGCACACUGAGUAAUUACAAACCAUUGUUAAAAGAAACGAAAGAAAAGCCUUAACAAAUGGAUGCCCUGUGUUCAUGCAUUGAAAGACUCAAUAUUGUUAAAUGGCACUAUGCUUGAAGAUGAUCUGCAAACUUGAGUGCAAAUCCUUUUAAAACUUAGAUGUCUUACCUCUCCCCAAAUCUGCAAACUGAUCCUAAAAUUCAUACCGAAUUAUGAGACCUGAAUGGCAACAAACAAUAAAUGGAACAAUCCUGAGAGACAACCAAGUAGAAAGAUUCACACUUUCCUAUUUUAAAAAUGUAUUACAAAGCUGUGGUGAUGUCCAUGUAGUGGGGGCAUCAACAUUGUCAUGUAGAGCAAUGUGAAAGCAUUGACGGUCCAAAGAGAUGAUUAGACACAUGGCUAACCGAUUUUCCAAAAAGGAGCCAAUAAAAUUCAGUGUGGGAAAGAACAGUUUUCAAUAAACAAUGCUGGGACAACAGUAUUCCUAUUCAAAGAUGUAACAGGACCUCUACACCACAUACAUAAAUCAACAAAGAGGCUGGACAGAUGGCUUGGUAGUUAAAAGCAUGUGUCACUCUUGUAGAAGACCUGGUUUCAACUCCCAGAACCUACAGGCAACCUUGGUAAAAGGUUGUGAGGUAAUUUCACAACCAUUCAUAGCUCUAAUUCCAGGGAAUCCAACCCCCACUUUUGUCUUCCUCAAGCCACCAGAAAUGAAUGUGGUGCAUAUAAUACAUGGACACAAAACACUCAUAUAUGUAAAAAUAAAAUAAACACAUCUAAAAGAAUUAACCAAAGUGGAGCAUAUCUCUGAGUGUCAAAGACAAAACAGUGACUGAGAAUCAAAUAUUCACCUCUUAGAUUUCACACCAAGGUAUAAUCUAACACCAGACAAAUAGGUUUCAUCAAAGCAAUACAAAUUUGUACUUGUACUACCAAAACAGUGAAAAGAUGACCCACAUGGUGGGAGAAAAUAUUUGCAAAUUUCUUAUGUGAGAAAAGUGUAUAUGGAUAUUAUAAAGAACUCACAAUUCAACAAUAAGAUAGCAAGACAUGAUGGCGCAUGCUUGUAAACUCAGCUGGGGAGUUUCUGCAGGAGAAUCAUUGUAUGAGAUCAAACUUACUACACACUAAGUUCCAAGCCAGCCUGGGUUAGAAAAUGAAAACAAAAAAACACAAAACAAAAAUACAAACAAACAAAGGAUGUUCCUUCAGAGAAAAAGACAAAUGACAACCCUGUCCCACCAGCAUCUGGGAGGCUGAAGCAGGAAGAUGACUCAAGACUGUCUUGAACCACUAAGUGGGUUGAAGGCCAGCCUGGGUGACUUAAUGAGACCCUGUUUCAAUAUAAAAAGGGCUGGGAAUACAGCUCAAUAGCUAGUAUUUAGCUAUCACAUCGAAGACCCUGGGUUCAAUUCUAGCCAGAGGCAGAAGAGGAGGACCACCCAGUCUUUUAAACAAAUGUAGAGGAUUUGAAAGACAUGAGAAGUCAGUACAUGGAAACACACUUGAUGUCACCACAAUAAAACACUCAACACCACUAGAAUAACAUUUUUAGGGGGCUGGAGAGAUGGCUCAGUGGUUAAGAGCACUGACUGUUCUUCCAGAGGUCCUGAGUUCAAUACCCAGCAACCACAUGGUGGCUCACAACCACCUUGAAUGAAUUUGGUGCCCUCUGCUUACAUGCAGCCAGAAAACAUAAUAUAUAAAUAAAAUCUUUAAAAAAAAAAA